CUUACUUACUCUCUCUGUGUGCUACUUUUAUUACGUUUUGUAAUUAAUUUUAUUAAGUUUAUAAUUACUGAUUGUCAGUUUUUUUCGUUUGUGCGAUGAUUGCAUUUUUUGUUUCAUCAGUUUAUCAGCUUCAUCAAUUACCUCGGCUAAGAAAGCUUCUGUCAUUGGUAAGUACGGCAAAUCGGUCUCGACAGGAGCUCUCGAUCUUCCGACGACGCCGUCCAAUUCAAUUUGAAGUAGCUUCAACCAUUCAGGAUGUACUGACAGAAAGAGAAACGUGGUCGCUAAGGUGUCUGUGGUCGUCUUCGAUCCGGCCAAGAAGAGAUCAAGGCAUAAUAUCAUUAAAUUCUCACCUGCAAAAAGUGAAAUACAGACCAAUGACACAAUCAAAUUUUUAAUGCGCGACUCAUAAAAAAAAUUAUAUUAGAUAUAUUAUAUUUAAUCCCUGAUCGCGCAGAAAUAUCUCAAUAUCAAUCUAAAAUCUUGAUUAUUGUUAAAUUUUAUGAAUGCAAUUCUCCAACAAUCUCCAACAAAUAUAGAUACGAUUCCGAAUCGUGAAAUAAUUUUUGAAAUCAUAUAUAAUUGCAAUUCGAAAUCAUAAUUGAUCAAUCAAAUGGUAUAUCUUGAAUUGAGAAAAUUUCACAAUUGCUCACGAUCAAAGAUAGUAUCUUCAUCGCCACUCUUGUUCGACAUCUCCAAGAGAAACGCGUCAAUCAAAUCGCGUGGAUUAUCGGAUGGCUCGUUUUCGUGCAUCUUGAUCUCCUCGUCGAGGAAACCCCAUAUUUUUUUAUGGAUCCUCAUCAGUUCGUUAUAUCCCGAUUGUUCUGGGAUAACAAAACGUAAAAAAGGCAUCUGCGACAUCACUCCGCCCAGGGGGUCCAUUAAUCUAUGUAACAUCAAAUAUAUUUCGAAUUUUAUAGAUUUUCAUCAACCAUUACCUGAAGACGUCGUGAACGACCACGAGCACUUCUUGCACUUUUUGAUCCUCGUAGUCGAAUCUGUGUCCGGCAAUCAUGAACCAUAAGGCAUUAAGCACCGCAAUGUCAAAUAUAGUGUGCAUCAGCACUGGGCCAUGCUCGCUCAGCUUUUGCAGAUGAUCAACAAGCUCCCGAGCCUCGAUGACCAAUUGGUCUUUCAUAAGCGUUUGACCCAAGCCAAACAUUCGCAGGUGUCGCGUCGUAAAUCGACGACACUGGGUCCAUGUGUUAUCCUCGGUGAACAAAAUGCCUGUGCGAGAGAACGAGAGAAAUUUUUACAAAAAUUGUAUUCACCAGGGAAAGAAUGCAAAAAGCGCAGAACGCUACUGAGAAAAAUCCACUCUUCCGUGGUCUCGGCGCCAGUGAAAUCUCCUCAUCGACGUCCUCGUCUUCGCCGUCAUCAAUCGUGGAACGGGAGUCUGCGACGCGCAAUACUCGAUGUAGCCUAUCCAGACGGACAGUAACGGUGGCAUGGAUUAAUUUAUGUUGCUGUGUGGGUGCACCGAUACUUUCUCCACGGUCGAGGUCCUCUACAUGCUGGUCACCUGCCUCCCAUAGCAGACUCCACUUUCUCCAAUUUCGCAGGGAAUACGUGCGCGUAUUCGCGUUGCAUCAUCUCCAAGGUAAGUUCAGGAUAUGACGGCGAUUCAUUUUUAAAUUAGAUGUACCAUUUGAACAAUGCCGUCUUUCACCGAAACACAAGUGUCAACAUUGAAACACUCCCAUUGUUGAAUAGCAUUUCUGAAAAAAAAAGAAUUAGAAUUAAAAA